rnacentral:rRNA from 1 species
UACGGAGGGGGCUAGCGUUGUUCGGGAUUACUGGGCGUAAAGCGCACGUAGGCGGCUUUGUAAGUUAGAGGUGAAAGCCCAGGGCUUAACCCUGGAAUUGCCUUUAAGACUGCAUCGCUAGAAUCGUGGAGAGGUGAGUGGAACUGCGAGUGUAGAGGUGAAAUUCGUAGAUAUUCGCAAGAACACCAGUGGCGAAGGCGGCUCACUGGCCCGGUACUGACGCUGAGGUGCGAAAGCGUGGGGAGCAAACAGG